CAGUCGCCGCGGUAAUACAGAGGGUGCGAGCGUUAAUCGGAUUUACUGGGCGUAAAGCGUGCGUAGGCGGCUUCUUAAGUCGGAUGUGAAAUCCCUGAGCUUAACUUAGGAAUUGCAUUCGAUACUGGGAAGAUAGAGUAUGGGAGAGGAUGGUAGAAUUCCAGGUGUAGCGGUGAAAUGCGUAGAGAUCUGGAGGAAUACCGAUGGCGAAGGCAGCCAUCUGGCCUAAUACUGACGCUGAGGUACGAAAGCGUGGGGAGCAAACAGGAUUAGAUACCCCCGUAGUCCCUGUCUCUUAUAC
rnacentral:rRNA from 1 species